CCUACGGGUGGCAGCAGUCGAGAAUCAUUCACAAUGGGGGAAACCCUGAUGGUGCGACGCCGCGUGGGGGAAUGAAGGUCUUUGGAUUGUAAACUCCUGUCAUGUGGGAGCAAAUUAAAAAGAUAGUACCACAAGAGGAAGAGACGGCUAACUCUGUGCCAGCAGCCGCGGUAAUACAGAGGUCUCAAGCGUUGUUCGGAAUCACUGGGCGUAAAGCGUGCGUAGGCUGUUGCGUAAGUCGUGUGAGAAAGGCGCGGGCUCAACCCGCGGACGGCACAUGAUACUGUGGGACUAGAGUAAGGGAGGGGGAACCGGAAUUCUCGGUGUAGCAGUGAAAUGCGUAGAUAUCGAGAGGAACACUCGUGGCGAAGGCGGGUUCCUGGACAUUAACUGACGCUGAGGCACGAAGGCCAGGGGAGCGAAAGGGAUUAGAUACCCUUGUAGUC
rnacentral:rRNA from 1 species